ensembl:snoRNA
GCUGGUAGAGGUGAUGACUCUUUCCCCGUCAGAGCGACAGUGUUGACUACCGCUGUCCAAGCCAGGUCGUGUCUGAUGCACCAGC